UACGUAGGGGGCAAGCGUUGUCCGGAUUUAUUGGGCGUAAAGAGCGUGUAGGCGGCCAGGUAGGUCCGUUGUGAAAACUGGAGGCUUAACCUCCAGCUGUCGAUGGAAACCAUCUGGCUAGAGUCCGGAAGAGGAGAAUGGAAUUCCUGGUGUAGCGGUGAAAUGCGCAGAUAUCAGGAAGAACACCCGUGGCGAAGGCGGUUCUCUGGGACGGUACUGACGCUGAGACACGAAGGCCAGGGGAGCAAACGGG
rnacentral:rRNA from 1 species